rnacentral:rRNA from 1 species
GAUGAACGCUGGCGGUAUGCCUUACACAUGCAAGUCGAACGGAAAUUAGCUUCGGUCAAUUUUAGUGGCGGACGGGUGAGUAACACGUGAGAAUUCGCCUUUAGGAGGGGGGAUAACGGAUGGAAACAUUCGCUAAAACCCCAUAUGCCCCUGGGUGAAACAGAGGAGAUAAGUAAUACUGACUCACCUCUGCCUGAAGAGAAGCUCGCGGCUGAUUAGCUAGUUGGUAGGGUAAAGGCCUACCAAGGCGACGAUCAGUAGCUGGUCUGAGAGGACGAUCAGCCACACUGGAACUGAGACACGGUCCAGACUCCUACGGGAGGCAGCAGUGAGGAAUUUUCUGCAAUGGGCGAAAGCCUGACAGAGCAAUACCGCGUGAGGGAUGAAGACUUACUGAGUUGUAAACCUCGGUACCUUAAGGAAGAAGAUCUGACGGUACUUAAGGUGGAAAGCAUCGGCUAACUCCGUGCC